rnacentral:misc_RNA from 1 species
CUCACCAUUAUUUUAUUUUUUUGUUGUUGGAAAUAAUCAGCAAGAAAUAGCGUCAUCUAACGAUACCAACAGGAGAAAUUUAAAUUACUAUUGAAUAUUGAUUAUAAUUUUUCUUUACAUUUUUUAUCGAUUUCAUCGUUUCCAUUUUCCAAUAGACAAGCAGACGAAUUUGUGACAUUAGAACGAAAGAUUCGACACGUGUUAACUGUAAAGAGGACCAGCUGCUGAUGUUACAAAAUCGUCAAGUGUUAAGCUGGAGCUAAUAAAUGUUCUUGUUCCGUUUUAAUCAUUCUUUAGGCUACUCGUUAAUCCACAGAAAUUUGCUAUUUUUUGGUAUCAAUUGUUUUUUUUAUUGUUUUCAUGAAUGGAGAUUUAUUCCACAAUCUUCAGCUUCCCAUGCAGACACCCACCCACAAAUCUAUGGGGUGAUAGAUGAUAUAAAAAUUUAUUAAUUAAAAAAUUUACAUUUUAGGUUAUUGAUUGCAGAGUCAGAGAACAAUGUGUGGAAUCUGAUAUUCUAGCCCUCGAAACCCCAGCUGCCCUUCUGCUUCAACAAGGCUAUAAAGCAAUUAUAAUUUCAGGAGGUCCCAGUAUACGCAGCGGAUGCCCCACUAUACGACCCAGCAAUCUUUACCGGCCGUCUUCGAGUGCCGGGAAUUUGUUAUGCAUGCAAUUAAUCAACAAGGCAUUAGGUGGAAUGGUGGAGAGAAAAGAUGUUAACGAAGAUGGGCAAUUCAAGAACCAAGUAGAAACGGAGUGCCCAUUGUUUAAAGGCUUAGAGACUCGGCAAAUGGUAUAACUGAUCCAUGGUGACGGGGUAGACAAGGUUGCAGAAGGGUUGCGUUGCGUUUGCGUCGCAAAAUGUUCGCGUCAUAUUAUUUCCGCUAUUGCCGAUACUGAACGCCGUCUUUACGGAGUCUAGUUCCAUGAUUUAAUUGAAAACGGACGAAAAAUGUUGCAUAACUUCUUGUUCGACAUCUGUGGAUUGCAAGGAGGUUUCACAUUGAAGAAACGAGAGCAGUAGUUUAUCGAUUACAUCCGGCGUACGGUCGGACGUGAACAGAUCGUGCUCAUGCUGGUAAGCGGUGGAGUCGAUUUCGCCAUUUGUACUGCCCUUUUCCAUGAAGCACUUCUACAGGUGAUAACUCGUCACGAGUGCAGGGCAUUUAUACCGAUAACUGUUUCCUGCGUAAAGACGAAUCCGAGCAGGUCGUCACUAGUUUACAGCAACUCGGGCUCAUUCUCCCGACAGUGGCUUCUCAUUUUUCUUACCAGCGAUCAGAUUUGAGGUUUCAAAUUGUUUUAGGUUAAAUGAAGUUUGACUUUCUACGAUGCUUGCACCAACUUGCAUGGACGUCAAAUUUUGUCGUUGUGUCGGAAUGUUAAUCCCGUAGAAAAACGUCGAAUUAUUGCCGAUUCGUUUGUCAAAUUGGCAGAUGGAAGAGCUAACGAUUUAAAUCUCACUUGGGAUAAUCUAUUUCUCGGACGAGGUAAUUUAAGCCUGGUUUUAAUUGGUCUGGUAUGCUAUAAAAUUAUAAUUGAUUAAGCAAAAAUACUUACUGAGAUUGAAAGCCAAAAUUUUGUUAUUGUAAGCUGCAUACCACAUUGUGUUGAAAACAGCAAAAGUGGAUAUUCCAAACAAGUUAACAGGCACUAUGAUUUAAUACUUAAUGAAUCAUAGAAAAAUGAUAAAUUUUGCAACAGUUAAGCCGGGUACUUUUACACCAGAAAGAGUCAGGUGAACGUAUCAAAACGAAAACUGGGACUAAGACGGCCAAGAAUCAUUACUAACCGGUAACUUAACCGAAAUCAGCGUUUAAUUUGAUUUAAUGUGCUUCAGAACGUUUUUUGUAGCUGACACAGCGUCAGAGUGCUACAUCAUAUUUUCCUAUGCUUAUGUGUCUUAAUUACGGAGGGCGAAGCAAUGAAGCACUACUCAAGGUUUGCCAAAGGUAGGUAGUUAUCGCUAGAUGACGUUUAACUUGAGAACUAGUUCGCCCGGUUUGGGCGUUUGUUAAAGAAACUGUACGCCCAUUGAUAAACUAACAUGACUUUCUUGAUUAGUCGAUAUCCCCUAUCGUUAGUUUUGCAGGAAGAGCUCACGGUUUCCGGAAUUUUAUGGCGACCAGGAUGGACCCUAUCGGGAACUUCGGGAACGGAGUGUGGGUCCAUAAUGGAUCGACCGAUACUUUUUUUUAAAGACUUUACCCCAGAGAUGCGCGGUGAUUUCAAGGUUUCGGCACUAAUCUCUCGUUUGUUUUUUUACUAGGGGCCCUCACUCCGUUCGCGAAGUUCCGAUACAAAAAAGGAAAAAGAAACGAUAACAGCUGGAAGGGCAUGUGGAAAUUUCAAAGGACGCUACCUGCACGUUACCUUUAGUCGCUGAUUAAUCUGGAAGAUAAAAUAUAAAAAUUUUUAUAAAUUGAA